ensembl:ncRNA C02H7.4 ncRNA
GCUUUGCAUAUCAUUGCCGAUUUUCUUCGGCUCGUUUAAUUCGCUGACUUUGUCACAAUGAUUGAAAUGUGUUCAGGGAGUU